rnacentral:rRNA from 1 species
GAAUUCGCCCUUAGAGUUUGAUCCUGGCUCAGGACGAACGCUGGCGGCGCGCCUAACACAUGCAAGUCGAACGAGCGAGAGGAGGUUUACUUUCUCAAGCGAGUGGCGAACGGGUGAGUAACGCGUGAGGAACCUGCCUCAAAGAGGGGGACAACAGUUGGAAACGACUGCUAAUACCGCAUAAGCCCAUGACCCGGCAUCGGGUAGAGGGAAAAGGAGCAAUCCGCUUUGAGAUGGCCUCGCGUCCGAUUAGCUAGUUGGUGAGGUAAUGGCCCACCAAGGCGACGAUCGGUAGCCGGACUGAGAGGUUGAACGGCCACAUUGGGACUGAGACACGGCGCAGACUCCUACGGGAGGCAGCAGUGGGGAAUAUUGCACAAUGGGGGAAACCCUGAUGCAGCGACGCCGCGUGGAGGAAGAAGGUCUUCGGAUUGUAAACUCCUGUUGUUGAGGAAGAUAAUGACGGUACUCAACAAGGAAGUGACGGCUAACUACGUGCCAGCAGCCGCGGUAAAACGUAGGUCACAAGCGUUGUCCGGAAUUACUGGGUGUAAAGGGAGCGCAGGCGGGAAGACAAGUUGGAAGUGAAAUCCAUGGGCUCAACCCAUGAACUGCUUUCAAAACUGUUUUUCUUGAGUAGUGCAGAGGUAGGCGGAAUUCCCGGUGUAGCGGUGGAAUGCGUAGAUAUCGGGAGGAACACCAGUGGCGAAGGCGGCCUACUGGGCACCAACUGACGCUGAGGCUCGAAAGUGUGGGUAGCAAACAGGAUUAGAUACCCUGGUAGUCCACACUGUAAACGAUGAUUACUAGGUGUUGGAGGAUUGACCCCUUCAGUGCCGCAGUUAACACAAUAAGUAAUCCACCUGGGGAGUACGACCGCAAGGUUGAAACUCAAAGGAAUUGACGGGGGCCCGCACAAGCAGUGGAGUAUGUGGUUUAAUUCGACGCAACGCGAAGAACCUUACCAAGUCUUGACAUCCUGCGACGAUGCUGGAAACAGUACUUUCCUUCGGGACGCAGAGACAGGUGGUGCAUGGUUGUCGUCAGCUCGUGUCGUGAGAUGUUGGGUUAAGUCCCGCAACGAGCGCAACCCUUAUGGUCAGUUACUACGCAAGAGGACUCUGGCCAGACUGCCGUUGACAAAACGGAGGAAGGUGGGGAUGACGUCAAAUCAUCAUGCCCUUUAUGACUUGGGCUACACACGUACUACAAUGGCGUUAAACAAAGAGAAGCAAGACCGCGAGGUGGAGCAAAACUCAGAAACAACGUCCCAGUUCGGACUGCAGGCUGCAACUCGCCUGCACGAAGUCGGAAUUGCUAGUAAUCGCAGAUCAGCAUGCUGCGGUGAAUACGUUCCCGGGCCUUGCACUCACCGCCCGUCA